CAAAACAUAGCUUAUCUAAAGCCUCUUGCUUACACCAAGAAAAUGUCCCUUUACCGGGACUGUUUUGAAA
rnacentral:tRNA from 1 species